GUGAGUCGGUUGCCUGGGCAGGGGGAAUGCGUGUGGGGCGAGAGUUGUCCGGAUUCAUUGGUCGUAAAGAGUUCGGAGGGGGUUCAGUAAUUCGGGUGUGAAAUCUCCGUGCUCAACACGGGGCGGCCACCUGAUACUGCUGUGACUCGAGUCCGGUAGGGGAGUGGGGAAUUCCCGGUGUAGCGGUGAAAUGCGCAGAUAUCGGGAGGAACACCAGUAGCGAAGGCGGCACUCUGGGCCGUGACUGACGCUGAGGAGCGAAAGCGUGGGUAGCAAACAGGAUUAGAUACCCUGGUAGUC
rnacentral:rRNA from 1 species